UCCACGCCGCCAAAACAUGUUUUUCACUGAGUUGGGGGGGGGGGACAUCAGCUUGUGAAUGAAGUUUAAAAUAGCGCCGUAUGUCGGCUGUUGCGUAAGCGCAGCGCGGGGAGGGCACGAGCGGCACAGCGCAGACGGCGCGCUCGAUACGACCAUCCCACCGCAGAGAGAUGGGCACAGCGUGUUCCAGAUACUCGCAAGUGAAUCAGCUCGGCAAAAUUGUUGCUGAGCAAGAAAACAAGACGAUGUGAAUAGAACUCGCCGGCUGGAAUGAAUUUCAACUAUACUCGCUAGUAAGCUAGUCAACAAUGAGAAGUACAAGUCAAGCGCACCAGGACACGUUGAGGCGAAUCGUUUGGACAAAGAACCAAAAAUGGUUUCGAGGACUCCAUUCAAGUCCAAUUUGUUGAGGGAAGGGAGUGACUCCAGACACUCCUUCUUACCAGCUUCAACAUCCACGGGCUUCCUCUGCACGUGGCGAAACAUCCGAACAGGCCGAAAACCACGAUGACGGUCCCGGUGCCGAUGAGCACGUAGGGGGCGUUGGUGGAGUUGUCGGCGAUGAGCGAGAUGUACGGGCCCAGCAUCAACUUGCCCCAGACGCCCACCGCCAGCAGGAUGGCGCCGGUGAUCUGCGGGGUGCGGAAGGAAGCGGCAGUGGAGCAAGCAAUGUUUCCCAACCUUUAUUGACCAUUUUUUGUCUGUACCAUUUUACAUUAAAAACAACAAAAGAAAUAAAAAACAACUCACAGCACAUCACCAAAGAAAUAUGUAACAAAAAGUAAGAAUACUGAAAUGACGAUCUUGUCGAUUUGCUCUUUUUGUGCUCAGGCCAAAGCAAUGAAAGCAAAAUUGUUUUUGCACUA